AUUGAACGCUGGCGGCAGGCCUAACACAUGCAAGUCGAGCGGAUGAGUGGAGCUUGCUCCAUGAUUCAGCGGCGGACGGGUGAGUAAUGCCUAGGAAUCUGCCUGGUAGUGGGGGACAACGUUUCGAAAGGAACGCUAAUACCGCAUACGUCCUACGGGAGAAAGCAGGGGACUUUCGGGCCUUGCGCUAUCAGAUGAGCCUAGGUCGGAUUAGCUAGUUGGUGGGGUAAAGGCCUACCAAGGCGACGAUCCGUAACUGGUCUGAGAGGAUGAUCAGUCACACUGGAACUGAGACACGGUCCAGACUCCUACGGGAGGCAGCAGUGGGGAAUAUUGGACAAUGGGCGAAAGCCUGAUCCAGCCAUGCCGCGUGUGUGAAGAAGGUCUUCGGAUUGUAAAGCACUUUAAGUUGGGAGGAAGGGCAGUAAGUUAAUACCUUGCUGUUUUGACGUUACCAACAGAAUAAGCACCGGCUAACUUCGUGCCAGCCGCCGCGGUAC
rnacentral:rRNA from 1 species